GACACGCCCCUUUGAGCUGCGUGCUACAGCGAGGCUAAGCUAGUGGGGGCAAAGUUUCAGUGCAUUCCGUUGAUGUAGACGGCGUGAAAACGGAAACAACAAGUAUGCCGGCUCACUGUGCUGCAUACAAUUACACACUGCGUCGUACGAUUGAGACAAGGAAACUUGGAAUGACUUUUCAUAGGUUUCCCAGAGACUAUGGGUUGAGGAGGAAUUGGAAGUUUGUCGGCUUAGACCUGGUGUCAUUCCAUCAGUGUUAAACUUCCCGGCUCAUCUUGGAAGAGUACGUGCCAGAAAGACCACGACCAAGCAGCCUUGAGAUCUUAGGCAGCGUCUCCCUGAGGUCCCUCUCUAUCUCCCCACACAUCCACCAACCACUGGAAGACAUCUCCAAAGUUCUGCCGGGCCAGCUCAGCUUCCCCUCAGAAGAAGUGCCACCAGAUGAAGGAGCCUUUUGAGAGGCAGCUGGCAUCGUGAUUGGACUGUACUUUGGUCUGUUCCAAUCCAGCUUCAGCUCCAGAGACGGCAGGCGGGACGAGUCAACGGAGGCCUGGUGGACGAAGGCAUGCAGCUGAGUACAAUCCAGAAAACAACAGAGGAGGAGUGCAGGGCCAGAACAAGCAGAGUAGCAUCGUAUGUCUCUUAGAAAACAUCAUAGUAUAGCCUUUGCUAUGAAAAAACGCCAUCAUAUACAUCGUAUAUUGUACAAAUAACAAGUCAAAGGAAAGAGACAUCAACUGUAGAAUUGUAGUAAUUGUGGGCUGACUGAUUUACUGAUUAUCAGUAUUUUAUUUUUUACUGAUUUACGGUAAUAAAUACAUUUAAAAACGGCGCUACUUUGGCUCUGAACCUUUAUCUACCUGUGGUCGCUCUGUCUUCUGGAGUGAUUUGAUUGGUUAUACGUAACGAAUAAAACUCCUUUAACUUAACAUCUGUAAACAAAACAAAAACGUA
ensembl:lncRNA